AGUAUGUAAUUAUGUACAUAUAAGCAAGUGUAUUUUAAUUUGUAUUUUAAUCACUAAGUCUAGCCCUAGCUUAACCACUCAAUCUAACCUGCUUCACUUUCACAAUAGCACGGUCACCCUUGCGCUUACGUUGUCUAUUGUCUCUAUUGUCUUGCCCCAGCCCCAGGCCCCUUAGUUUCAAUAGCAGGGUGUUUUGUGGGUCAGCUAUCAUUUUCACUUCAGUCUGUCUGGUCACUGGUCACAGCUAGCAACAGCUUAUAACAGGUGUGGCAAACAUAGUUCCUGACGUUUGUGACGGUAACGGGCACAGUGCCAUACACUCGGGCCUUCUUCAGUUAUUGCCAUUAAACUGACAUCUAC